rnacentral:rRNA from 1 species
CCUACGGGUGGCAGCAGUGAGGAAUAUUGGUCAAUGGGCGCGAGCCUGAACCAGCCAAGCAGCGUGAAGGAUGACUGUCCUACGGGUUGUAAACUUCUUUUAUAAAGGAAUAAAGUGAGGCACGUGUGCCUUUUUGUAUGUACCUGAUGAAUAAGGAACGGCUAACCCCGUGCCAGCAGCCGCGGUAAUACGGAGGAUCCGAGCGUUAUCCGGAUUUAUUGGGUUUAAAGGGAGCGUAGAUGGGUUGUUAAGUCAGUUGUGAAAGUUUGCGGCUCAACCGUAAAAUUGCAAUUGAUACUGGCAGCCUUGAGUACAGGUGAGGUAGGCGGAAUUCGUGGUGUAGCGGUGAAAUGCUUAGAUAUCACGAAGAACUCCGAUUGCGAAGGCAGCCUACUAGCCUGCCACUGACAUUGAUGCUCGAAAGUGUGGGUAUCAAACAGGAUUAGAUACCCUAGUAGUC